rnacentral:rRNA from 1 species
UACGAAGGGGGCGAGCGUUGUUCGGAUUUACUGGGCGUAAAGGGCGCGCAGGCGGUCUUGAAAGUCAGGCGUGAAAGCCCCGGGCUUAACCUGGGAAUUGCGCUUGAUACUCUGAGACUGGAGUACGGGAGAGGAGAGUGGAAUUCCCAGUGUAGAGGUGAAAUUCGUAGAUAUUACCAGGAACACCAAUGGCGAGGGCAGCUUGCUGGGCCGACCCUGACGCUGAGGUACGAAAGCGUGGGGAGCAAACAGG